GUCGAGGGGCAGCGGGGGACGCGCUUGCGCGUCCCGCCGGCGACCCGUGCACGGGUGAGUAACACGUAUGCAACCUGCCCCCGCCAGGGGUACAACCCUCCGAAAGGGGGGCUGAUACCGCGUACAUCCCCUGGGGGCAUCCCCGGGGGAGGAAAGCCCUUUUGGGCGGGCGGGGAUGGGCAUGCGGCGCAUUAGGAAGACGGCGGUGUGACGGACCACCGUUCCGACGAUGCGUAGGGGUUCUGAGAGGAAGGCCCCCCACACUGGUACUGAGACACGGACCAGACUCCUACGGGAGGCAGCAGUGAGGAAUAUUGGUCAAUGGCCGGAAGGCUGAACCAGCCAAGCCGCGUGAGGGAGGAAGGCGCAGAGCGUCGCAGACCUCUUUUGCCGGGGGACAAAAGGCCGGACUCGUCCGGUCCUGAGGGUACCCGGAGAAAAAGCAUCGGCUAACUCCGUGCCAGCAGCCGCGGUAAUACGGAGGAUGCGAGCGUUAUCCGGAUUCAUUGGGUUUAAAGGGUGCGCAGGCGGGCCUUUAAGCCGGCGGUGAAAUCGCGGGGCUCAACCCCGCCGAGCCGUCGGAACUGGGGGCCUUGAGUGCGGCGGAGGCAUGCGGAAU
rnacentral:rRNA from 1 species